rnacentral:lncRNA from 1 species
UCAAGCAGCGGCUGAGUUUGCAGAACAUGCAAGCCUAGCUGCCAGAGCUAUUGUAGAACUUUCAAGGCAAUAUUGUAUUGAUGAUGGUGGUUUAUGCCACUUAGGUUUCAAGGAUGAAAGGUUGGAACUUGGGCAAUCAUUUCCUGGAGAUGGUAAUGGUAAGUUUUCUGUUCGCAAGCAGAAUUGGAACAUGAAAUUUAAAGAUGCUACCUCUGCUGCUCAAGUAACGGCUGAGUUUGCAUAACAUGAAAGCCUAGCUCUGAGAGCUGUUGUAGAAUUUCCAAGGCAAUAUUGUGUUAAUUUUGGUGGUUCAUGCCACUUAGGUUUCAAGAAUGAAAGAUUGGAACUGGGCAAUCAUUUCCUGGAGAUGGUAAUGAUAAUUUUUCUAUUGGCAGGUAGAAUUGGAACAUGAAAUUUAAGGAUGCUACCUCUGCUGCUCAAGCAGAGGCUGAGUUUGUA